rnacentral:lncRNA from 1 species
UUUGGGUGACAUUCAGGGACCUUCAGGUGACACCAACCCCCUCUGGCUCCACCACCCAUGGAUGUCCUCAAGUGCCACCGGUGCCACCCCCUGGUGUCACCUGUGCUGGUGUCCCCAAGGUGUCACCUGUCCAUUGUCACCUGUCCAUUGUGUCACCUGUCCUUUUGUCACCUGUCCAUUGUCACCUGUCCCGGUGUCACCUGUCCCGGUGUCACCUGUCCAUUGUCACCUGUCCUGGUGUCCCCAAGGUGUCACCUGUCCAUUGUCACCUGUCCAUUGUCCCCAAGGUGUCACCUGUCCAUUCUCACCUGUCCCGGUGUCACCUGUCCCAGUGUCACCUGUCCCGGUGUCACCUGUCUGGUGUCACCUGUCCAUUGUCCCCAAGGUGUCACCCAUCCCAGUGUCACCUGUCCUGGUGUCCUCAAGGUGUCACCUGUCCCGGUGUCACCUGUCCCAGUGUCACCUGUCCCGGUGUCACCUGUCCAUUGUCACCUGUCCUGGUGUCACCUGUCCAUUCUCACCUGUCCCGGUGUCACCUGUCCCGGUGUCACCUGUCCAUUCUCACCUGUCCCAGUGUCACCUGUCCCGGUGUCACCUGUCCCAGUGUCACCUGUCCCGGUGUCACCUGUCCAUUGUCACCUGUCCCGGUGUCACCUGUCCCGGUGUCACCUGUCCAUUGUCACCUGUCCAUUCUCACCUGUCCCAGUGUCACCUGUCCCGGUGUCACCUGUCCCGGUGUCACCUGUCCCGGUGUCACCUGUCCCUUGUCACCCGUGCGCAGGUGGGGUGUACAAGAAGAUCGGGUACUACGACAGCACCAAGGACAACCUGUCCUGGUACAACAACGACAAAUGGAUCGGUGAGAAACAGCCGGAAAAACAACAGCGGGAAUAAAACAACAGCGGGAAUAAAACAACAGCGGGAAUAAAACAACAGCGGGAAAGUCAGGAAAAAACAACAGCGGGAAAAACAACAGCGGGAAAAACAACAGCGGGAAUAAAACAACAGCGGGAAUAAAACA